UACGAAGGGGGCUAGCGUUGUUCGGAUUUACUGGGCGUAAAGCGCACGUGGGCGGAUCUUUAAGUCAGGGGUGAAAUGCCAAGGCUCAACCUUGGAACUGCCUCUGAUACUGGAGAUCUUGAGUUCGGGAGAGGUGAGUGGAACUGCGAGUGUAGGGGUGAAAUUCGUAGAUAUUCGCAAGAACACCAGUGGCGAAGGCGGCUCACUGGCCCGAUACUGACGCUGAGGUGCGAAAGCGUGGGGAGCAAACAGG
rnacentral:rRNA from 1 species